rnacentral:lncRNA from 1 species
UUGUAGGAAUUUUUGCAAAAUCUACCAUAGUCCCCUCGUUGGCACGACAGACUAUAGCUAGCUAAGAAUCCAAUGUGUUGUAGGACUCUAUCCAAUUUUCAAAUAGCUUGCUAAUAAUAAAUUAUUUAGCUAUUUACGUCUUCCUAUAAGAUGCCUCGCACUGUUAUGUAUCACGUACAUAAAUUUCAUAGGCUAAUAUGGAUAUGAAUAUCUCUGUUCUAACUGAUCCUCUAAUGAUAUUGGUAAUCAUGCGUGCAUCAAGCUAUGGAUGAUAUCGCAUCACA